GGUUUCCSUAKRKGRRMCUGMGGAAGGAUCAUUGUCGAAGCCUGCCCAGCAGAAAGACCGGCGAACACGUUGCACAACACUCGUGGGGCGCUGACGCCCCGCGGUACCCGUCCCCGCCGGUUGCGUGCGGCCUCGGCCCGCGCCCUCGGCACCAAACGAACAUCGGCGCGGAAUGCGUCAAGGAAAAACAACGAGACGGGCAUCUGGCCCCGAGGCCCCGGAAACGGUGAUUGCCCCGGCGGAUGCCUCGUCGUCGGUUCGAGUCUAAAAACGACUCUCGGCAACGGAUAUCUAGGCUCUCGCAUCGAUGAAGAACGUAGCGAAAUGCGAUACGUGGUGUGAAUUGCAGAAUCCCGUGAACCAUCGAGUCUUUGAACGCAAGUUGCGCCCAAAGCCGUCGGGCCGAGGGCACGUCUGCCUGGGCGUCACACACCGUCGCCCCCCCCACCUGGGACCCGAGUGGGGGGCGCGGACGAUGACCUCCCGUCGUCUCUUCGCUUGGCGGUUGGUCUAAAUUCGAGUCCUUGGUCGCUCCGUCGUGGCAACAGGUCGUCGAUCGCUCGGUGCCGCCGUCACGUGCGUUGGACUUGCAUCGGGACUCGGAGAGAGACCCCAAUGCACCCGUCGGAGGUGCUCCCGGCGCGACCCCAGGUCAGGCGGGGCUACCCGC
rnacentral:rRNA from 1 species